rnacentral:rRNA from 1 species
UACGGGGGGGGCAAGCGUUGUUCGGAAUUACUGGGCGUAAAGGGCGCGUAGGUGGCCAACUAAGUCAGACGUGAAAUCCCUCGGCUUAACCGGGGAACUGCGUCUGAUACUGGAUGGCUUGAGUGUGGGAGAGGGAUGCGGAAUUCCAGGUGUAGCGGUGAAAUGCGUAGAUAUCUGGAGGAACACCGGUGGCGAAGGCGGCGUCCUGGACCAACACUGACACUGAUGAGCGAAAGCCAGGGGAGCAAACGGG